UGAGGAAUAUUGGACAAUGGGUGAGAGCCUGAUCCAGCCAUCCCGCGUGAAGGAAUAAGGUCCUAUGGAUUGUAAACUUCUUUUGUACAGGGAUAAACCUAUCUACGUGUAGAUAGCUGAAGGUACUGUACGAAUAAGCACCGGCUAACUCCGUGCCAGCAGCCGCGGUAAUACGGAGGGUGCGAGCGUUAUCCGGAUUUAUUGGGUUUAAAGGGUCCGCAGGCGGGCCUGUAAGUCAGUGGUGAAAUCUCACAGCUCAACUGUGAAACUGCCGUUGAUACUGCAGGCCUUGAGUGAAUUUGAGGCGGCUGGAAUAAGUAGUGUAGCGGUGAAAUGCAUAGAUAUUACUUAGAACACCGAUUGCGAAGGCAGGUCGCCAAGAUUUAACUGACGCUGAGGG
rnacentral:rRNA from 1 species